ACGGGAGGCAGCAGUGGGGAAUAUUGCACAAUGGGCGAAAGCCUGAUGCAGCGACGCCGCGUGAGUGAAGAAGUAUCUCGGUAUGUAAAGCUCUAUCAGCAGGGAAGAAAAUGAAGGUACCCAAGUAAGAAGCCCCGGCUAACUACGUGCCAGCAGCCGCGGUAAUACGUAGGGGGCAAGCGUUAUCCGGAUUUACUGGGUGUAAAGGGAGCGUAGACGGAAUGGCAAGUUUGAAGUGAAAACCCUGGGCUUAACCCAGGACUUGCUUUGAAAACUGUUAAUCUAGAGUACUGGAGGGGUAUGGGGAAUUUCUAGUGUAGUAGUAAAAUGCGUAGAGAUUAGGAAGAACACCGGAGGCGAAGGCGCCAUACUGGACAGAUACUGACGUUGAGGCUCGAAAGCGUGGGGAGCAAACAGGAUUAGAUACCCUGGUA
rnacentral:rRNA from 1 species